rnacentral:rRNA from 1 species
GACGAACGCUGGCGGCGUGCUUAACACAUGCAAGUCGAACGGAAAGGCCCUGCUUUUGUGGGGUGCUCGAGUGGCGAACGGGUGAGUAACACGUGAGUAACCUGCCCUUGACUUUGGGAUAACUUCAGGAAACUGGGGCUAAUACCGGAUAGGAGCUCCUGCUGCAUGGUGGGGGUUGGUAAGUUUCGGCGGUUGGGGAUGGACUCGCGGCUUAUCAGCUUGUUGGUGGGGUAGUGGCUUACCAAGGCUUUGACGGGUAGCCGGCCUGAGAGGGUGACCGGCCACAUUGGGACUGAGAUACGGCCCAGACUCCUACGGGAGGCAGCAGUGGGGAAUAUUGCACAAUGGGCGGAAGCCUGAUGCAGCAACGCCGCGUGCGGGAUGACGGCCUUCGGGUUGUAAACCGCUUUCGCCUGUGACGAAGCGUGGGUGACGGUAAUGGGUAAAGAAGCACCGGCUAACUACGUG